rnacentral:tRNA from 1 species
UGGAGAUUAGCCAAGCGGUAAGGCAACGGGUUCUGGUCCCGUCAUCGGGGGUUCGAAUCCCUCAUCUCCAACAA